rnacentral:ncRNA from 1 species
CGUUCCGAGGGGUGUCCUCGGGACGUUUCGCUGACACCGGUACCUGAUACGGCCGGUGCAG